rnacentral:rRNA from 1 species
UACGUAGGUGGCAAGCGUUGUCCGGAUUUACUGGGCGUAAAGAGCGCGCAGGCGGUCGGAUAAGUCGAAUGUGAAAGCCCCCGGCUCAACUGGGGAGGGUCAUUCGAUACUGUUCGACUCGAAGGCAGGAGAGGGAAGUGGAAUUCCCGGUGUAGUGGUGAAAUGCGUAGAUAUCGGGAGGAACACCGAUGGCGAAGGCAGGUCUCUGGGCCACUACUGACGCUGAGAAGCGAAAGCGUGGGGAGCGAACGGG